GUGGGGAAUUUUGGACAAUGGGCGCAAGCCUGAUCCAGCAAUGCCGCGUGCAGGAAGAAGGCCUUCGGGUUGUAAACUGCUUUUGUACGGAACGAAAAGGCUCUGGUUAAUACCUGGGGCUCAUGACGGUACCGUAAGAAUAAGCACCGGCUAACUACGUGCCAGCAGCCGCGGUAAUACGUAGGGUGCAAGCGUUAAUCGGAAUUACUGGGCGUAAAGCGUGCGCAGGCGGUUUUGUAAGACAGAGGUGAAAUCCCCGGGCUCAACCUGGGAAUUGCCUUUGUGACUGCAAGGCUGGAGUGCGGCAGAGGGGGAUGGAAUUCCGCGUGUAGCAGUGAAAUGCGUAGAUAUGCGGAGGAACACCGAUGGCGAAGGCAAUCCCCUGGGCCUGCACUGACGCUCAUGCACGAAAGCGUGGGGAGCAAACAGGAUUAGAAACCCCUGUAGUCC
rnacentral:rRNA from 1 species